rnacentral:lncRNA from 1 species
ACUUAUCUCAGUACAGAUGUGUGUGUGUUUUUCUGAAAGGAGGAAGAUAUUUUAAAUUUUUAAAACAGCUGUCAAAAUAAACACUGUUAUACACCUGUUUUAUGAAAAUCAGCAUUGAGUAAAAAAAAUAUUUUUAACUUUAUUUUCCUGUUGUACAAUUUAAAAACCGUUUUAACAUUUUGCCUUUUUAUGUUUUAAAAGCUAACCAUUUUUAUUAAACUAUGAGUAAGCAGCUCGUUCUAAUCGCCGAAGAGUGUUUUUGGAGCUCGCUGGGUUUUGUUGACCUUGUAAAGCAGACAUUGAAGGAACAGAGCAUGGACAAGCUAAAAUAGAGUUCUAACAUCGUGCAUCUCUGCCAAAAACCACACGCCCUCUGUGGAUGGAUGGGAAUCCCCAGAUUUUAUAUACUCUUGAAUAAAAAGGUUUAUUUUUAUUUAUAAGUGGGCAUAAGAUAAGUGCCCAUGCAGCCAUUUUUCCAACAGAUGCUGUACACCGUUCAUUUUCUAUAGAAUAGUGAGAUUCAAAUACAGUGCAUUUUCUAUUGGUCUUUGUUCUGUGCAUUUUUAGCAACUUCUACCAGCAAAUAAACUAUUCUCAGUAAAACAAAAAUGGUUCUCAAGUUAUCAGUCUCACUGUUGUUAACACUUGUUUCAUGCCCUGCCAAAGUCACGUUACACAGACUUCCGUUUUCUUAUAGUCAUGAAAUUUUCCUUUGCCAUUCAGAAGUAAUUUUAAGAUGUGUAACGUAACUGUCUUCCCAUGCACUCAGUAUCCCCUCAACCCACUAAUGUUGUGAAAUGUUUACCAAUCAUAGAUGUAUGUGCUGCAUAGAAGUCUGUGCUUAGAAGGUGGCGUUCUAAGCUUACCGUGAAACACAGCUACAUUUCAGUGUUAAGUGUGCAUAUUAAGAAAAAUUCUUUUGGAGAAAGAAAUUCUGAAUCUUCGGGACAGUCUUCAGUGGCUUAGAGUUACAAUCAGCUUACUUUUAUGACUUGCUAUUAUUUUAAAAAUCCACAUAGCUUUCCCUGAUUUUAGUGUAGGCUUCCAAAUUUCCAAACCAGUCUGUCCACAGCUGUUUCUGGGCUGGUUUUUUAAAAUAGCUGCAACAGAAUUGAGAGGCUUUCCCUUUUUACCAAAAAUGAACAUUUUUUAAAAGUAUAUGAACUCUAUGAUUAUCUUUUGUGUGGGAAAAUAAAAUACGAUUUUAUUCAUCCUUUUAGUAGACAAGAUUUUUCUCAACAUUUGUACAGUUCAGAGAUUUAAAAAAAAAAAAUUCUUGGUCACCAAAAAUGUUUUACCUACUAACUCAGCAAGUCCUAGGCUCCAGUUAAAACAUCUGGGGCCUUGCUCUCUCCUAGAAAUGUGGGCUUCACUGGAACUCAAGGGGCAGGAAUGAAUGGACUGCACACCUCAGCCCUGCCUCACUAUAGUUCUUGGCCAGGGACCCAGCUUUGAGGAACCCUGGAAUAAGCACAGAUAAUUCUUUGCCUGACGAUCUCCUGUGAACACCACAUGCUGAUUUAAGGGUUACAGACUACCAUGCAACAACAAAGGCGGCUUAAUCUCUACUCCAGUGGGUUUCCAAGUUCAGUUUAAAGUCAAUCAAAUUUUUGUAUUUUCAGUGUCUCCUUGAUUGGUUUUGCUAGUAAUUCUGUAAAUUGUACAUUUGCAAAAUGAUGGUUUUUUUUCCUUUUGUACAAUUUGAAACUGAUGCUUCACCUUUCCUUUAAUAAACUAUUCAAAA